AUGUUAAAAAUGCCUUUCUUAAUGGUGAGUUGCGUGAGGAGGUUUUGUAUGCAACCACUACCUGGGUAUUCAGUUCCCGACGGCAUGGUUUGCCGUCUUCGUCGCUCUCUCUAUGGCCUUAAGCAAGGCCCUCGCUCCUCGUUUGAGCGUUUUGCCUCUGUGAUCCCUACUGCUGGCUUUUCGCCAAGUGAUCACGAUCCAGCGUUGUUUGUCCACCUUUAUGCUCGUGGCCACACUCUUCUUCUAUAUGUUGAUGACAUGAUCAUCACUGGCGACGAUUCUGAGUACAUUGCCUUUGUCAAGGCUGAGCAGUUUCUUAUGUCUGAUCUUGGUCCUCUUUGUUACUUUCUUGGGAUUGAGGUUUCCUCCACCUCUGAUGGAUUUUUUAUUUCCCAAGAAAAGUAUAUCCAGGAUCUUCUUACUCGUGCGGCUCUUAGUGAUGAGCGCACUGUUGAGACUCCUAUGGAGCUCAAUGUUCACCUUCGUGCUUCUGAUGGUGAGCCCUUGUCUGAUCUGACACAUUAUCGUCAUCUUGUUGGGAGUCUUGUGUAUCUUGCUGUCACUCGUCCGGAUAUCUCCUAUCCCGUCCAAUAUUCCGAGUUAGUUUGUUUCUGCUCCCACUUCAGUUCACUAUAG
rnacentral:rRNA from 1 species